GGGUUUCCCUGCUAUGUUUUGUCACACAUCAUUGCUGGGAGAGUUCGGUGCUAUCCAAGUGACUCCCCUGGGAGAGGACAACUGGAAAUUUAUGCCUGGUGUCUUCCUGGACUCCGACCUAUGUACCUUUUUCCUUGGAUGAUUUUAACCUGUCUCCUUUUGCUGCAAUGAACCAUAACCAUGAGUAUAACAGCUUUUCUAAUUUUUGUGAGUCCCUCAAGUGAAUCAUCAAACCUAAGGUAGUUUUGGGACCCCCAUCACAGACAGUCAAACAGGAGCAGGGCAAGAAGAGCUGCUUUUCCUGGAAGGCUAAUGAGUCUGAACUUCACCCUGGAGGUAAUCGUUAUAGUAACUCCAGGCUCUAACCUGAAGCUGACAUGAUAAGGCCAAAUGUACACCUCUAGAAGACACUUCCGACUGCAGAGGGGAAUGGAUGGGGGAGCUGAGGGAGUAGAGCUGAAGCGGGAAGACCAUGGCCUGGAAAGAGAUGGCUGAACCAGUCCAGAAUCACAAGAAAGGCAUCAGCACCUUCUGUGAAAUGGGGAGCCAUGCAGAGGAGGUACCCAGGUGGCAAGGAGUCCAUGUCAGCUGCCGUCAUCCACACCACAGACCAGACGUUGCAAAGAGUGGCCAGGCCUUCUGAGUGAAGGUGAUCCAACCUGUCACUAAGCCUAAGGGCAAAUCCUGGCUGUACUAUGAUGGUUCCAACAACCCCAAACAGCAGCGCAGAGGCUGCAGCCACCCUCGGAGGCAUCACUGGGAAACGCUCAUUAGCAGCCUUCCAUUGCUCACCCGCCCCAUCCCACCUCUGCGCAUCCCAGACCAUCAGCCAAGUGCACAGCUGGCUUCCAUCCUCGGAGCCUUCCUCCUUCAUUUGCCUAUUCAACAGUUACAAAGACCUGAGUUGCAAAGGGCUUACAACCCAUUCCACCCAGAAGAAGAACUGAGACUGAGCAAGACAGAGAAUAGGUGGAAGGGGAGAUGAAACCAAGCAAUCUCUAGAUCCCAAAUGGGGACCCCAAUGUAGCAAGAGCCUCUUCUAAAUCCUUUUCCAAUAGGGUAAUAUGGAAAAUGGUUGAAAGCACAAGCCAAGUGGGGCUGGAAUCCCAAAUGGGCCAUUUACUAGCUGUGUGACUGGACAAGUAAUUUCAUAUUUCUGAGCCUCGAUUUUCUCAUCUGUAAAAUAGAAAAAAAAAACCUAUGUCAUAAUGUUGAUAUACAGAUUAGAUGAGCUAAGAUCUAAAAUGUCUUCUAUUCAGUAGGUGCUCAAUAAAUGUUAUCUAUUUUUA